GUGAGGAAUCUUGCACAAUGGGGGCAACCCUGAUGCAGCGACACCGCGUGCGGGAAGAAGGCCUUCGGGUCGUAAACCGCUUUUCUGGGGGACGAGGAAGGACGGUACCCCAGGAAUAAGUCCCGGCUAACUACGUGCCAGCAGCCGCGGUAAAACGUAGGGGGCGAGCGUUAUCCGGAAUCACUGGGCGUAAAGGGCGUCUAGGCGGCCAUUUAAGUCUCAUGUGAAAGCUCCCGGCUCAACUGGGAGAGGGCGUGGGAAACUGGAUGGCUAGAGCGUCGGAGGGGGGUGUGGAAUUCCCGGUGGAGUGGUGGAAUGCGUUGAGAUCGGGAGGAACACCAGAAGCGAAGGCGGCACCCUGGCCGACGGCUGACGCUGAAGCGCGAGAGCGUGGGGAGCGAACGGGAUUAGAAACCCUGGUAGUCC
rnacentral:rRNA from 1 species